rnacentral:rRNA from 1 species
GACGAACGCUGGCGGCGUGCCUAAUACAUGCAAGUUGAGCGCUGAAGGUUGGUACUUGUACCAACUGGAUGAGAAGCGAACGGGUGAGUAACGCGUGGGGAAUCUGCCUUUGAGCGGGGGACAACAUUUGGAAACGAAGGCUAAUACCGCAUAAAAACUUUAAACACAAGUUUUAAGUUUGAAAGAUGCAAUUGCAUCACUCAAAGAUGAUCCCGCGUUGUAUUAGCUAGUUGGUGAGGUAAAGGCUCACCAAGGCGAUGAUACAUAGCCGACCUGAGAGGGUGAUCGGCCACAUUGGGACUGAGACACGGCCCAAACUCCUACGGGAGGCAGCAGUAGGGAAUCUUCGGCAAUGGACGAAAGUCUGACCGAGCAACGCCGCGUGAGUGAAGAAGGUUUUCGGAUCGUAAAACUCUGUUGGUAGAGAAGAACGUUGGUGAGAGUGGAAAGCUCAUCAAGUGACGGUAACUACCCAGAAAGGGACGGCUAACUACGUG